rnacentral:rRNA from 1 species
CCUACGGGUGGCAGCAGUAGGGAAUAUUGCUCAAUGGGGGAAACCCUGAAGCAGCAACGCCGCGUGGAGGAUGACGGUUUUCGGAUUGUAAACUCCUUUUGUUAGAGAAGAUAAUGACGGUAUGUAACGCAUAAGCACCAGCUAACGCCGAGCCAGCAUCCGCGGUAAUACGGAGGGUGCAAGCGUUACUCGGAAUCACUGGGCGUAAAGAGGGCUGUGGCGGGAUAGAAAGUCAGAUGGGAAAUCCUAGGGCUUAACCAUAGAACUGCAUUUGAAACUGUUAUUCUAGAGUAUGGGAGAGGUAGGUGGAAUUCUUGGUGUAGGGGUGAAAUGCGUAGAGAUCAAGAGGAAUACUCAUUGCGAAGGCGACAUGCUAGAACAUAACUGACGCUGAUGCGCGAAAGCGUGGGGAGCAAACAGGAUUAGAUACCCCAGUAGUC